rnacentral:rRNA from 1 species
CCUACGGGAGGCAGCAGUGAGGACUAUUGGUCAAUGGGCGCGAGCCUGAACCAGCCAAGUAGCGUGAAGGAUUACUGCCCUACUGGUUGUAAACUUCUUUUAUAAAGGCAUAAAGUGAGGCACGUGUGCCUUUUUGUAUGUCCUUUAUGAAUAAGGAUCGGCUAACUCCGUGCCAGCAGCCGCGGUAAUACGGAGGAUCCGAGCGUUAUCCGGAUUUAUUGGGUUUAAAGGGAGCGUAGAUGGGUUGUUAAGUCAGUUGUGAAAGUUUGCGGCUCAACCGUAAAAUUGCAAUUGAUACUGGCAGCCUUGAGUACAGUUGAGGUAGGCGGAAUUCGUGGUGUAGCGGUGAAAUGCUUAGAUAUCACGAAGAACUCCGAUUGCGAAGGCAGCUUACUAAACUGCCACUGACAUUGAUGCUCGAAAGUGUGGGUAUCAAACAGGAUUAGAUACCCUAGUAGUC